UGGCACUCCUACCUCCGCCCACUCGACCGCUACGCGGCAGCCGAGCGAGGGCCUCGGGGCGGCGC
rfam:Oryza meridionalis cultivar OR44 (W2112) chromosome 11, whole genome shotgun sequence.